UUAAUUCUCAGGUUUGUAGUUGAUCUGAAGCCCUGGGUUGUGACCUUCAGAAAUAUUUCUUAAUUUUCCUUCCCUUCUAGGGCAUCAUUUUUCUUUAUUAAUAGAGUCCAGCUCUUAGAACGCUGCCCGGAAUCUAGAAGACACAUGAUAAGCAAACGGUGAAACAAAGAAGGAAGAAAGGAAGAAACCCUCCUUCCGUCCAGGAAGAAAUAGCAUAUUCUACAAUGAUGUUCUAAUGCAUCUACGUAUGAAUUUAUACUUACCGUCUGAUACAA